GACAUCUUUCUGUAUUGACCAGGCUGGUCUCAAACUCCUGGGCUCAAGCCAUCAUCUCGUCUUGGCCUCUGAAGAGGCUGGGACUACAAAUGGGACUGUCUAGCUGCGGAAAAACAAGCUCAGGGCUCCCACUGAUUCUACAUCAUGGUGAGUUGUGUAAUUAUUUCAUUAUAUAUUACAAUGAAAUAAUAGUAGAAAUAAAGUGCACAAUAAAUGUAAUGUGCUUGAAUCAUCCCAAAACCAUCACCCUACCCCCACCACCCACGGUUUGUGGAAAAAUUGUCUUCCAUGAAGCUGGUCCCUGGUGCUAAAAAGGUUGAGGACUGCUGCUCUAAGGAACCAAAGCUGCACCAGUCCAAUGCUACAGACUAGCUGCCAACAUUCUCUGAGGGCUACAGUGGGCUGGGUGCUGUUCUUAGCUCUUUGCUUAUAUUAAUUCACUUGGGCCUCUCAGUAACCCUAAGGGAGGCACGAUUAUUAUCUCCAUCUUCUGAUGGAGAAAAAGAUAUAGAGAGGUCAAGAAACUGGCCCCACAGCCUACAGAUAAGCAUGUAACGGUAAAGAAGGAAUGGGAACCCGGGCAGCCUGGUUGUGGAGACCAUGAUCUUGAUGCCUGGUGACACGUUUUCUACCAUGAUGACUCCUGCGAUGACUAACAACAAAUCCACGACACACAAGAUAUCAGAAUUUUAAAUAAAAGCAUGAUCAGCAUCACUGAUUUUUCCUUUGUCGCAGGUUCCAGUGUGGCUCAGCAGAGCACUGUUAGUGAUCCUGGCCUUGUUUGAAAUGUUGAAUUUUGUUCAUCAUGGGUUUUUUGCAUUUAUUUUGAUUUAAGAAACACUGCAUUAAAUACUAUUCAUCUCGAUUGCUGAGUUUGGGGCACCUUCUGAUCCCACCUCUGUCUCCAACACCUUCCCCCGUUACUCCCAACCAGCCAGUGGCCUUCCUCCUGUGCCUCUACCAUCUUGAGCUCAUUCCAACCUUCAACCUAUGCCCUAGGACUAUUCCCUCUGGCUGGUGGCCUCCACUCUCAAGAGUUUCUCAUGGUGACUCCUUUGUACCAUUAACUUAACUCAGCUUCCACCUCCUUGAAGAGUCUUGCCUGACGACCCCACGUACACUGGCACCUCCUCAUACCCUGUCAUGCAUCUGGAUUCACGGUCUUCCUUGCACCUUCUGCUGUCUGAAUGUAUUUGACUGUGUCUUUACUGCCUGUCUCCUCACUAGAAUGUGAGUUUCAUGAGAGUAGUAGGAAUCUUGUCUGGCUUGUUCCCUGCCUUAUGCCCAGGGACUCAGUGAUUAUUCGUCAAGUGAUAAAAGGGGUGUGGAGGCGAGUGCUGCCCAGCACAGGGUCCAGCUGUCUGCAGGCAUUGAGAAUCUCGCCCAUUGUAUUAUCGCCAGUUGUUUUCCUGUCUGUCUCUCCUCCGUCCCGUAUUGGCCCAUGAGUCCUCCAGGUCGGCUCCUAUUGCUCCCUCUCCAUAUACCUCGCACCCAGCAGCAGCCUGGCACUGAGAUGGGACUCAAGGAUGCUUGCUGCAUGAAUAGAAUUCCUGGAAAUGGCCUCUGAGUUCCCCAGGCAGCCUGGGCUGUGAGCAGUGCCAGGAAGGCUGACUUACCUGUUCACAUCCACCUCCCUCCCACUCAUUCAGCUUGUCAGACCAGGGAGGGCCUUGGUAAAUGUCUAGUUCAAUUAAUUUUACAGACUAGGCAGCAACGUGGGAAAAUGUUCAUGAUGACAUGCUGAUGGAAGAAUGCAGAAAACAAAAUUAUCUUUGAAUACUAUCGAUCAUUCACUUAACAAAUAUUUCUUGGGCAACUAUUAUGUACCAGGCACUGUUGAGGCACUGGGAUAUGGCAAAGGACAAGACAGACACAGUCCUUGACCAUAGAGACUAGUCUAGUGGGGACGACAGACAACAAACAAGGAAAAUAAUAACGGAGCGAGGUUACCAAUAUGGUGUGUCCUCCAGAGAAAAUAAAGCAGUGUGAGAUGAAGGGGACUUUAGGUAGGGUGGCCAGGGAAGGCUUCUCUGAGGAGGUGACAGCAGAAGGAUGAGGAAGAGCCAGCCAUGGAAAUGGGGGUAAGAUAGAAAAAAAUAAGCUGCUCUUUUUGAGAGCCCAUGCAGAUGCAAUGGUUGGAACUCUGGCAGCCAUCUUAGGCCAUGAGGCAACUGUAAAGACUGAAGUCACAAGCUGAAACCAGAAGAGUAGAAGGAAGAAGGAGCCUGAGUCCCUGAUGACUACGGGGCUGCCACACCAUUGGUUUACCCAGUGACAUGCUAGGAAGCUGGCUGUCUCAGAAAAACUUUUUUAAGCCCCAACAGUGCCAAUUUCCAUGAUGUGAAUGCUCCCACUCAAGUGGAUUUCAAGUUAUCAGUGUGAAGUAGUAGUUGGACUCGGCAUUGGGAUGAGAUGCACACAAUCAGCUCUCAGGAGCCAGUGCAACCCGCUGCAGCACACCCUACCUGGAGUCCUUUCCUAGAGACUUGUCUUACAUGAGAGAGAAAUGCACCCCAUCUGACUGCAGCUACUUCAGCCAGGGCUCUGUUACUAACAGCUGAAAGUCAUUCCUAACAUUCAUAUGCAGCUUGAGCAGAUGCAUUCCUUGGAGCAGAGGAAUCUUGCUUGACUAAGAGAGUAGAAAGACUGCUCCUCAGGUGCCCCUGACAGCCUUGGGCUGUCCAGCCUGGGACACAGUGUGGCUGACAGGCAGAUGUGGAGGAGAUGGGCCGAGUGCUACAAUUCUUCCCCUGGAGGUCCCCGUGGGUCCACAGAAGACCCAGCCACCCAGGCAGCUCUUCAGGAUUUCUAAGAAACUGCCUUGGAGUCUAGUUCCUCACAUUGCUCAGGGCACUCGAGAAACCUGGACGAAUUCCUCCCUGAUUUCGGAGUCAGGGAAUAAGGACAGCGGGCUUCCUCCUUCCUUCUGGAUCCUGGGAGAAUCGGAACACUCAUUUGCCCAUUCCACAAACAUGUGGCGAGACCUUGGGCCCCGCAUGGUGCUGUGUCAGGGAUGGGGACAGGGAUAAGGGAGGAGUCCCAAACCUGAUGCCACGAGGUGUGCAUGUGUUGGGGUGACAGUCAGGGACACAGACACUUACAUCACGGGGAAUGCUGCGAUCGUGUUAGGAGAUCCCAAACUUGCUCCUCUCCCUAUAUUCCCCAUCUCAGUGAAGGGCCCCCCUCCCCCAACUCCAUCCCAGCCAGAAACCUCGGAGUGAGAGUCAUCCUGAGUCCUACCGCCUCCAGGCCAAUCCAGUGACCAGGUUUGCUCUGGAAUUUGUUCUCUCCUCUCUCUGUGUGCUGCCUCUGGUUCAGUUUUCACCACUUCUUUUCUGGGCUGUGGCCCCAGGCUCCUCCCUGCCUCUAGCUCUCCUGCUGCUCCAAGUGCCCUGCAUAGCAGCUGCAGUGAUUGUUCUAAAGGGCAGAUCUAUAAAUGCUUUCCCCUCUCACUCUCCCCAUUGUGCCAGUCCGCAGAUUUCCACAUUGUCUGAGAAGAAAGGCACAAAGCCUUAGGGUGACAUUCAAGGCUCUUCACUGCUGGCCCCAACCUUUUCUUCUCCAGUCCUAGCUCUUGGUCCAGAUGUGUGCUGUCCAAUACGACACUUGUGGCUAUUUAAAUUGCAAUUAAUUAAAAUGAAAUAAAAUGGAAAAUUCAGUU